rnacentral:lncRNA from 1 species
AAGUCAACUUUGAAAUUUAGCAUUCUAAAGGCAUGAGGCCUAGUUGCUCUUCAACAAGUUUAGCAUUCUAAAAGCAUGAGGCCUAGUUGCUCUUGAACUCCUUUAAGCAUGGGUAUGUCCUAAUUCUAAGUCCUUUCUCCUUUUUGCAUUAGGUUCACACAAAACAAAAACAAAACAAACUCAAGACAACAAUAUAUUUAUAUACAAUAAUGAGCUCAGAUGAGCAAAAGGCAAAUGACAUAAACAUAAAUAUAUGCUCAAGUGAGCAAAAUGAAAAGCAAUAUGAAUAAAUGAGCAAGAAAUAAAUGGAAUUAAAAGUAAAGG